rnacentral:tRNA from 1 species
GGAUUGUGGCUCAGUGGUUGAGCGCUUGCCUAGCAUGUGUGAAGCACUGGGUUUGAAUCUCAGCACCA